rnacentral:rRNA from 1 species
CCUACGGGGGACAGCAGUGGGGAAUAUUGGACAAUGGGGGCAACCCUGAUCCAGCCAUGCCGCGUGUGUGAAGAAGGCCCUCGGGUUGUAAAGCACUUUCAGUGAGGAAGAACGCCUGGUGGUUAAUACCCAUCAGGAAAGACAUCACUCACAGAAGAAGCACCGGCUAACUCCGUGCCAGCAGCCGCGGUAAUACGGAGGGUGCGAGCGUUAAUCGGAAUUACUGGGCGUAAAGCGCGCGUAGGUGGCUUGAUAAGCCGGUUGUGAAAGCCCCGGGCUCAACCUGGGAACGGCAUCCGGAACUGUCAAGCUAGAGUGCAGGAGAGGAAGGUGGAAUUCCCGGUGUAGCGGUGAAAUGCGUAGAGAUCGGGAGGAAUACCAGUGGCGAAGGCGGCCUUCUGGACUGACACUGACACUGAGGUGCGAAAGCGUGGGUAGCAAACAGGAUUAGAUACCCUAGUAGUC